AGCGAGUAAGGGAAUCUUCCACAAUGGACGAAAGUCUGAUAGAGCAACGCCGCGUGAGUGAAGAAGGGUUUCGGCUCGUAAAACUCUGUUGUUAAAGAAGAACAUAUCUGAGAGUAACUGUUCAGGUAUUGACGGUAUUUAACCAGAAAGCCACGGCUAACUACGUGCCAC
rnacentral:rRNA from 1 species